rnacentral:rRNA from 1 species
AUGUCCGAGACAAAGGAAACAUUGGCAUUGCAGGAGGAGAAUGUCCUUAAGAGAAAGUUGGAUGAUGUGGGAUGGGAGUACGGGAGUCUAGCUGAUGCUCCCAACAAGGAUAAAGUGAAGUGUAUUUUCUGUAACCAUGUGAGCACUGGAGGUGUUUAUCGUCACAAGCAACAUGUGACUCAUGUUGGCAAUGAUGUGGCCAAAUGCAAGAAAAGCUCACAGGAAGCUAAAGACAGGUGCAAGAAAUCUCUUGAAGAGUCAUCUAAUAAGAGGAGGCGGAAGACUGCCCAUGAGCUAGAUCUCAAACAAACUGCAAAUAUUUCUUUUGCGUUGGAGAUGACGAAGCUACUUGUAUCGGAAGCGCGAAGGCACACAAGUUAG